GACGAACGCUGGCGGCGUGCUUAACACAUGCAAGUCGAACGGAAAGGCCCUGCUUUUGUGGGGUGCUCGAGUGGCGAACGGGUGAGUAACACGUGAGUAACCUGCCCUUGACUUUGGGAUAACUUCAGGAAACUGGGGCUAAUACCGGAUAGGAGCUCCUGCUGCAUGGUGGGGGUUGGAAAGUUUCGGCGGUUGGGGAUGGACUCGCGGCUUAUCAGCUUGUUGGUGGGGUAGUGGCUUACCAAGGCUUUGACGGGUAGCCGGCCUGAGAGGGUGACCGGCCACAUGGGGACUGAGAUACGGCCCAGACGCCUAUGGGAGGCAGCAGUGGGGAAUAUUGCACAAUGGGCGGAAGCCUGAUGAAGCAACGCCGCGUGCGGGAUGACGGCCUUCGGGUUGUAAACCGCUUUCGCCUGUGACGAAGCGUGAGUGACGGUAAUGGGUAAAGAAGCACCGGCUAACUACGUG
rnacentral:rRNA from 1 species